rnacentral:rRNA from 1 species
GACGACGUUGAUAGGCCGGGUGUGUAAGCGCAGCGAUGCGUUGAGCUAACCGGUACUAAUGAACCGUGAGGCUUAACCUUACAACGCCGAAGCUGUU